UGCAACUCGCCUGCAUGAAGUUGGAAUUGCUAGUAAUCGCGAAUCAGAAUGUCGCGGUGAAUACGUUCCCGGGCCUUGUACACACCGCCCGUCACACCAUGAGAGUCGAUAACACCCGAAGCCUGUAGUCUAACCAUAAGGAGGACGCAGUCGAAGGUGGGAUUGAUAAUUAGGGUGAAGUCGUAACAAGGUAAC
rnacentral:rRNA from 1 species